AGAAGUUGCUAGAUGUGAAUAAUACAAGUAGCAGUAGAAAAGCAAAACAAAAAGUGGGGUUGAAAAGUGACAUGAUUUUCAAUGUCAAACCUUCAUCUGAUGGUCAGUCAAACAAAGUUACAUUUAACUUGACACCAGAGAUGAUUCACCAGAUUUUUGCUGAAAAACCU